AGAAUCAACGCUGGCGGCGUGCCUAACACAUGCAAGUCGAACGAGAAAGGGUAGCAAUACCUGAGUAAAGUGGCGCACGGGUGAGUAACACGUGACUAACCUACCCUCGAGUGGGGAAUAACCUCGGGAAACCGGGGCUAAUACCGCAUAACAUCUACGGAUCAAAUGCGUAAGCAGCUUGAGGAGGGGGUCGCGGCUGAUUAGCUAGUUGGCGGGGUAAUGGCCCACCAAGGCAGUGAUCAGUAGCCGGCCUGAGAGGGCGCACGGCCACACUGGAACUGAAACACGGUCCAGACUCCUACGGGAGGCAGCAGUGGGGAAUUUUGCGCAAUGGGGGAAACCCUGACGCAGCAACGCCGCGUGGAGGAUUAAGCCCCUUGGGGUGUAAACUCCUUUCGAUCGGGACGAUUAUGACGGUACCGGAAGAAGAGCACCGGCUAACUCUGCGCCAGCAGCCGC
rnacentral:rRNA from 1 species